AAUGUGAUUUUAAUAGGUUUGUUUUCAACCUACUUUAAACUCAUGAAGAUAUGAGGCCUUAUGUCAUCGUUAUAGUUACUACAUGUGAUCCUGUGUGUGUUGUGAGGAAGCGAGCUAGGAACGAGUACUGGAUGAACUCAAAAGCUUGCAACUCCUCUGCCAAAGCAAAGUCUGUCACAAGUUGCUAAAUACAUAACCACGCAAGUUAAAGAGACCCACACACUGAUAAGCCAGUAUUUCAGGGUGAUGAGCCUGCUGCGCACCAGCUAUGAAUCAAAAUCUUGUCUUUAAUCUUUCUUCUGCUAAGGGCUUUCUGCAUGGAUUUGGAGUAAGUCACUAUCUGAACUUUCAUUAACCCCUUUCACUCCUCCUCCCCCUGAAUUGAGAUCUGUAGAUUGGACCUAUUUACUUUGUCCAAGGCUGGAAGUAUAAACCUGCUGAUGGUUGUGAACUGCUUAGAUACCACAGUGAUCACACAUAGCCAAGUUUUAUAAAACUAUACUGUCAGGCCAAUAUUUUACAGUAAAAUUAUUUGGGGUUGACAGAAUUAGAGACAAAAGCAUUCAUGUAUCCUGGCACAGAAAUCCCAGCUUUGGGCAGCAGUUUAUCUGAUACAGAAGUCUGUGCAAGCAGCAGGCAUGUACCAGGUACAGCAUGCAAUUUCCUCAACACAGAGAACAUCAUCAACUCAAGUCUUUUCUCCUCUUUACUAUAUAUAUAUGUGAGUUUUAAUGUAAGAUUUCUAUUAUUGUGUAGCUUUGGGAAGACAGGCUUGUCAGCUGCUCUGACAAAGCAGCUUUUCACUGAAUGAAGUUGCUGGACUGGCAUCUUGAUAGAGACUCCCUUCUUUAGUUGUACUGGAUGUUGGGAUGGGGCUCCCGUGGGCAGUCUCUGACAUCCACCAGUUCCCCAAACAUGCUGAAGUGUGAUGGGGAUAGUGGUAAAGAUUUUAUUAGUACCACCGGUCUGACUAAAAGGGAAAUUUUGGCAAGACCAGAUAUAUCUGUAAAGAUAGCCUCAUUAAAACACCCUGUGUGAACUGAGGGUCCUUUGAAUCAGGCCAACAAGAUCUAUUUCUAGUUGCCUCAAAAGCUGCCCUGGAAUUCAAAAUUAAGAUUUCGGCUUUUCAAAAAUUGCAAAAAAAAAGCUAAGCUCAACUUUCUCUAUAUACAGCUUCACACUAAAAAGUUUUUCUUAGUGUAACAGGAACACCUUAAUUUUAAACUGGCCAGUUUACCCUACUGACUUUUGAGGAGGCCAAAGGCCACCUGUGUUUGCAGUCAGCACAUUCAGGCAGAGUGGGGUACCACAAAGCCACCUGAGUUAAGGUUACACAGAGCUAACACAUACUCACAUUAAUAGCAACAAGACCAGAACAAGGGCUCAAAUAAACUGUGCAUAUGUACACAAGUGCUAGGCUCACUUUCACACUUUCCAAUGCUCAUUAUAAAAAAAAAUAAUUAGUUGCACGCUAACCAAAUGCUUUGUCUGAGCACUAGAUCCUCACUUUGCAACCUACUUGAGCAACAUUUUAAAGCUGUGUUCUGAACUAAUUACUAUUCAAAACCAGGACUAUGAUAGUAGUAAGAAAUGCACUUAGCUGGCAUAAAUUUGACUAGCUUGUGUUUAUAUCAGGGAGAUGACAAGCAUGAAGUCAGUCUUUGUGGGAAGAGUCUCAUCCUUCAGGGUAUCAGCUUUCUGGAAAUGGCGCUGUUUCCUACAAUUCUCAUGGAAUUAACUUUUUUUACUGAUUUCAGGCCUAACAAAGAUAUAAGACUGGUUAAAUACUGAUUCCCUAAUUCAAAGUUAUAUACAGAUCUAAAAAGGUGCACUAAUUCAGGCAGCAGUUGUUCAAUUAAUUAUAGGAACAACGUUGUUAAAAAUUACAGCUUCAGUCUAUGCGACUUCAGUGAGACUGUCUUACGAGUUGCUCUUUACAACAAGGAAGCAUGUCUGAGGUCAUGUGAGACCAAAGCACAUGCUCACAACUGCAAGAAGAAGUUUAAUAUAGGGAAUACACAACUUUACAGAAACCCAUGCUGCGUUUCUGUAUAUGCUCUGCACCUCCCUGGGAGAUGCCUGCACCUCCUGGGGUCAGGCUCUUCACAAAUGGUUUCAAAUAAGUGAUCCCCAGAAAGUACUCUAACCCUGGAGACUGCUUGGCUCGUGACUGGUGCCAUGCAAGUUAAGCUAAGGAAGAGAUUAUUUGAAUCAUGGAGCCCUUUAGAAACCAGUAGACCAGUGAUCCCUCCAAACAUGCAGUAUUUUAUCCAUCAUUAAAGUUACUUAAGAAUCAUGUUGACAUCACAGCAUCUUUCACAACUGGCUGUAAUGAUCUUAACCAAAUUAAUCACUUGAAUUAUCUGGAACAGCAAAAGAAACCCAGGUUAUCUCAAAGGCAGUGGCUGAGAAUUACAUGUUAUUAUUUUCCACCUUUAGUUCGAGCAACUCUUUGUAGCUAUCUGAGUGCUGUAAACCACAACCAAGGCAAGCUGCGGCAGCCUGGCUCUCCAUCCGACCCGAGGCGGCUGAGGCAGCGUAUGCCCUCUGUACUGAACGGGGCACACUUCCCCACCCGAAGGCCGGCGGGAGGGUCGGCACCCCGAGGAAGGGGCUCUGGCCGGUGCCGAUGCCCGGCCCGGAGCACUGCCCCGCGGGCACCGGGCAUCCCCCACCCCAGCGCCGGGCGAUGCCGUGGCGCCCCGGCCCCGGCACCGCUAAAAAUAAAGCCCGUCUCCGCCUGCCCGCCCUCGGGAAUCGAGGUUGGAUCGAUGGUUUUCUUUUAAAGCCGGAUUUUAUCAAUCGCCCCCCACCCUCGCCAACCCGCCUCUGAACCGCCCAGCCCGGACCACAGCCCUGCGAAUAACUUCAGCGCCGGGAUCGCCGGCGGGCGGGGGGACGGGGCCGGGGAUCCGCGGGCAGCGCUCGGCACUCACCUGGCCGGCGGUGUCGUACAGCCCCAGCAGGUAUAUACAGAGAAACCAGCUUUUACAAGUGUAUGUAUAACUGUUUGAAGUCUAAAACACUGCACCAGUUUUCAACUGAGCUCAGCUUCUAUCUCUUCAGGGGAAAAAAAAAAAAAGAAGAAAAAUACCUGGUGGAUCUCUCUGGCACAUUUUACAGCUGGGUUUUUAGAAGUAUAUGAGUGACCUCCUUGUGAGUUCCAGAGCUCUGUGAAAGGAUGGAAAUGCUGUGGCAAAAGAGUCAUGCUGACAGAAGAGUAGAGAGGAAGGACCAGCAGUGUCAGUGGAAACAGGGGAUGUACACCUCUGACCCCUUCU